rnacentral:rRNA from 1 species
UGGGUAGUAAAAGUCGUAACAAGGUCUCCGUUGGUGAACCAGCGGAGGGAUCAUUACCGAGUUUACAACUCCCAAACCCAAUGUGAACCAUACCAAACUGUUGCCUCGGCGGGGUCACGCCCCGGGUGCGUCGCAGCCCCGGAACCAGGCGCCCGCCGGAGGGACCAACCAAACUCUUUCUGUAGUCCCCUCGCGGACGUUAUUUCUUACAGCUCUGAGCAAAAAUUCAAAAUGAAUCAAAACUUUCAACAACGGAUCUCUUGGUUCUGGCAUCGAUGAAGAACGCAGCGAAAUGCGAUAAGUAAUGUGAAUUGCAGAAUUCAGUGAAUCAUCGAAUCUUUGAACGCACAUUGCGCCCGCCAGUAUUCUGGCGGGCAUGCCUGUCCGAGCGUCAUUUCAACCCUCGAACCCCUCCGGGGGGUCGGCGUUGGGGAUCGGGAACCCCUAAGACGGGAUCCCGGCCCCGAAAUACAGUGGCGGUCUCGCCGCAGCCUCUCCUGCGCAGUAGUUUGCACAACUCGCACCGGGAGCGCGGCGCGUCCACGUCCGUAAAACACCCAACUUCUGAAAUGUUGACCUCGGAUCAGGUAGGAAUACCCGCUGAACUUAAGCAUAUCAAUAAGCGGGAGAGA